AUGGGGUGCCGCAAGGCUGAGAUUAUACCCUUUGAACCUGAUACGGGUAAUGCCGGCGUAGGGAAAAGGCUUU
rnacentral:ncRNA from 1 species